GAGCGGUGAGGAAAAUCGCAUUUGUUGUGAUGGUAGGGUCCAUUAUAUUCAUUUGAAAUCACAAAUGACAAUCAAGUGGCGUCUGAGCUC